AACGCGUAGGUAACCUGCCUGGUAGCGGGGGACAACUAUUGGAAACGAUAGCUAAUACCGCAUAAUAUCUUUGAUUGCUUGAUUGAAGUUUGAAAGAUGCAACUGCAUCACUACCAGAUGGACCUGCGUUGUAUUAGCUAGUAGGUGAGGUAAAGGCUCACCUAGGCGACGAUACAUAGCCGACCUGAGAGGGUGAACGGCCACACUGGGACUGAGACACGGCCCAGACUCCUACGGGAGGCAGCAGUAGGGAAUCUUCGGCAAUGGGGGCAACCCUGACCGAGCAACGCCGCGUGAGUGAAGAAGGUUUUCGGAUCGUAAAGCUCUGUUGUAAGAGAAGAACGUGUGUGAGAGUGGAAAGUUCACACAGUGACGGUAACUUACCAGAAAGGGACGGCUAACUACGUGCCAGCAGCCGCGGUAAUACGUAGGUCCCGAGCGUUAUCCGGAUUUAUUGGGCGUAAAGCGAGCGCAGGCGGUUGGAUAAGUCUGAAGUUAAAGGCUGUGGUUCAACCAU
rnacentral:rRNA from 1 species